AUUAGAACCCAGGACCUGCUGACUCCCAGGACCAGGCUCUAGCCACUGAGCCGCACUGCUCCUCCACCAGACUGCGGGCCUGAGAGCCAUGGAGCCUGCCUGCCUACGACGUCAACUUGGACACACAACAAAAGCCACAGCAUUCCUUGGAUCUACCCCUACCUGUCCAUGCAAAUGGCCAUCCGAGCAUUUGCCACGACCUGGCUGGACUAUUCUAUCGACCCCUGCACUGCUCUCCCCACCUCCUGUCUCGACCCCUGCUGCCUCUUACCCGGCGCAUCUUUCGAAAAUGUUGUUCUGAUCACGUCUGCCCCCUCCUAAAAAGCCUCCGUUGGUUCCGUGUCAAGCAGAAACGCCCGAUCGCUGGUUUCAAGGCA